rnacentral:rRNA from 1 species
GAUGAACGCUGGCGGCGUGCCUAAUACAUGCAAGUCGAGCGAACAGACGAGGAGCUUGCUCCUCUGACGUUAGCGGCGGACGGGUGAGUAACACGUGGAUAACCUACCUAUAAGACUGGGAUAACUUCGGGAAACCGGAGCUAAUACCGGAUAAUAUAUUGAACCGCAUGGUUCAAUAGUGAAAGACGGUUUUGCUGUCACUUAUAGAUGGAUCCGCGCCGCAUUAGCUAGUUGGUAAGGUAACGGCUUACCAAGGCAACGAUGCGUAGCCGACCUGAGAGGGUGAUCGGCCACACUGGAACUGAGACACGGUCCUGACUCCUACGAUAGGCAGCAGUGGGGAAUCUUCCGCAAUGGGCGAAAGCCUGACGGAGCACCGCCGCGUGAGUGAUGUAGGUCUUCGGAUCGUAAAACUCUGUUAUUAGGGAAGAACAAAUGUGUAAGUAACUAUGCACGUCUUGACGGUACCUAAUCAGAAAGCCACGGCUAACUACGUG